rnacentral:rRNA from 1 species
CAGCCAGACUCCUACGGGAGGCAGCAGUGGGGAAUAUUGCACAAUGGGGGGAGCCCUGAUGCAGCAACGCCGCGUGGGUGAAGAAGUAUUUCGGUAUGUAAAGCCCUAUCAGCAGGGAAGAAGAUGACGGUACCUGACUAAGAAGCCCCGGCUAACUACGUGCCAGCAGCCGCGGUAAUACGUAGGGGGCAAGCGUUAUCCGGAAUUACUGGGUGUAAAGGGAGCGUAGACGGUGAAGUAAGUCUGGAGUGAAAGGCGGGGGCCCAACCCCCGGACUGCUCUGGAAACUGUUGUACUUGAGUGCAGGAGAGGUAAGUGGAAUUCCUAGUGUAGCGGUGAAAUGCGUAGAUAUUAGGAGGAACACCAGUGGCGAAGGCGGCUUACUGGACUGUAACUGACGUUGAGGCUCGAAAGCGUGGGGAGCAAACAGGAUUAGAUACCCUCGUAC